rnacentral:tRNA from 1 species
GCCGGGAUGUCGGAAUUGGCAGACGAUGGAGACUUAAAAUCUCCCGUUCCUUAGGAGCGUGUGGGUUCGAGUCCCACUCCCGGCA